rnacentral:rRNA from 1 species
UAACAGAGGGAAGCAACACAGUGAUGUGAAGCGAAACCCAAAAAGCAGUCACAGUUCGGAUUGAAGGCUGAAAUUCGCCUUCAUGAAGCCGGAAUUGCUAGUAAUGGCAGGUCAGCAUACUGCCGUGAAUACGUUCCCGGGCCUUGUACACACCGCCCGUCAAACCAUGAGAGUUGGCAACACCCGAAGUCGGUAGUCUAACCGCAAGGAGGACGCCGCCGAAGGUGGGGUUGAUGAUUAGGGUUAAGUCGUAACAAGGUAUC